rnacentral:misc_RNA from 1 species
UUUUGAUCAAAUGAAAACCAUUCAUCCUUAAUAAACAUCCAAGAAUAGCAGGUUUUUGUUUAAAAGGAUAACAUAAAAUUUGCACUACACAUGAAGUUAGUAUUCAAAAUGAUAAAAAAGCCACAAAUACUGCAUGGAUUUGUCUAACUAAGGGCUUAAAAUUCAUAUCAAUCUGACACAGGGAAUUUAUUUUCCACUACUUAAGCAGUCAUUCAUAAUACAACAGGCUUCCUUAACUAGGGUAAUGAUGAAAAUCUGUCAGCGAAAUGCUAUUGCUUUGACUCUGUUUUGAUAUUGCAGCAUCUUUUUUGCCACAGUAAUGACUUCAAUAAAUUACAAUACCUAUUCGAAAGCUGGCAACUAAAAAUUGGGGAGAGAAAACAGAUAUUUUUCCACUUCCCAUCACGAUGUGAAGAUGCUUAAGACCCACACGAUAGUGAAAAAGUAUUGAGCUCCUGAAUUUGGUGGUAAUAUGGUUUCGUUUUAAGCGGUAGUUAGAACUUGGGAGUCUACUGAUUUCAGCACUUCCUCACCCAUUUCUUUGCAUCCCACCAAUUUAGUUCCAGCAGAGUAAAUAUCACCCGUCCGAAACCCCUUAUUCAGGGUUUCCAAAACUGCAUUCUCAAUUCUCUUUGCAGCUUUUUCUUCCCCUAGACCAUAUUUCAAAAGCAUUGCAGCACUUAGCACUGUUGCCAAUGGAUUGGCCUUAUCCUGUCCAGCAAUGUCAGGAGCAGAACCAUGUAUUGGUUCAAAAAGUCCAGGUCCCGAUGCACCAAGACUAGCCGAUGGCAACAUCCCUAUACUUCCAGUAAUCAUUGAUGCCUCAUCAGAUAGUAUAUCACCAAAUAUGUUGUUUGUCACAAUUGUAUCGAACUGUUUUGGAUUGCGAACAAGCUGCAUUGCGGCAUUGUCAACAUACAUGUGUGAGAGCUCAAUAUCAGGAUAUUCUGCUGCGAUGGCCAUUACUCUUUUCCUCCAAAACAUUGAUGCCUAGAAAUUUAAAAAAUAAUACAUGAUACUAACAGUCACAGCAUAUUUUGUAAGCUAACUACAGACCCAUAUUCCCAAAGAAGAAGCUGGCAUGUGACUGUAAAAUUCACUGAUUAUUAAAACCAGAUAGAAUAAAUAUAUAGUCAUACAAAGACUAUGGUUAGUAAAGACUAUGGUUAGUACUGUGCCUCAUAUGGAAUCCCAUUAGCAGUGACAUUAACAAAUUAUAAGCAUAUGAAAUUAGGGGGAAAAAAUUAGAACAAAAUAGUUUGUCCAUUUUUACAACAUACCUCCAAGACAUUUGCUUUGUCAACAGAGCAGAGUUUUCCAUGUCGCUUCCUAGCAGUCUCGAAUGCAACACGAGCAAUGCGAUCAACCUCAUACUUAGCAUACACCUCGGUAUUGAAGCCAAUCUCUUCACCAGAUUCAUUGGUGCCAAAUCCCCUUGGUUUUCCAAAAUAAAUACCUCCAGUAAGCUCCCUUACAACCAUGACAUCGACACCUUCAGCAACCUCUUUUUUCAAAGUUGAAGCAUCCACUAACUAAAAGAGUGAAGAUGAUAUAAUUGUGAACUUUAACAGAGACAGGGAAAAAGAUGCUACUAAAAAGCAGGGUUAGGGUAUAAGAUAAAAGAGAGUAUGCAAAUGGUACCAUAAAAGGAUCAUUUAUCCUCCACCCCUUUUUUUUUGACACAGAAGUCUUACUAUUUAAAAAGGAUGAAAUAGCCAGUUUCGUUUUUUUUCUCCGGUGGCUUCUUUAUCAACCCAAGACAUCAGUUUGAUGCAACAUUUUAUUUGCAUUCAAGCUCUCAAGACCUAGUGGCCUACAAAUUAAUCCAAAUAUUUGCAGGUAAGACAAUUGAACCUACCUCUUCAAUACAUUUUUUACUAAUUUCAGCAGCAAGGUAUAAGAAAUCUUGAUUUCAUGACUUAUUCCUUUCAUAGACAUAUGCCAACUAAAACAUUCUUCGACUACUACUCCCAUAAUAAUGUAUUCAACCUCCCUUUUUUUAGGGAUCACCACAGCAUUUUUCAUAUUAAUAUGAAACUCUCGAGGCAUACAAAAGGCAACAAGAACCAUUAAUUCAAUAGACAUGCAUACAAGAUCAUGUUCCUUUCAGAAAAAAUACUAUUGCGAAAUUUCUUCCACAAAUUUCCAAAAGAAUUCACUUGCUUUUGCUUGCUUCUUAAGAAAAUAGGCCGGGUCUAACCCAACCCCAAAAGCUAGCUCAAGUGGGAGGAGUGCCUAGGCCGUAUAAGCGGCACAUGACCCUAUCUCAAAAGUCAAACCAAUGUGGGAUUUCUUUUCUUUUUAGUGGAAAUAUUUUCUUUAAGGGAAAAUUUAGUUAUCCCAUUUCCAGGACUCUCUUGUGCAAGUAUGCGUUUUUCCUGAUGCAGCAAAAUCCAGGUGCUCAAAGAAGCUCUUUUUCAAUAAAAAGGAAGAGAAAUGAAAUGUGAAUCAUAACAAUAUGUUGCGUUGAAGGAGUGGAGACAAAAGGAAAUGAAGGGAAAUUAGAUUAAAUUCCAAAGGCAAGUUUAAUAACUUUAUUCUUCUCCUUAUUUUACCUCCUAAAUUUCGCUUCUUUUCCCUUAGGAUUUCAGAUUGUGCCAAAUAUAGCGUAAAUAACUGACCAUUGCUUUAAAAUCAAAUAAGUUACCUGGGGCAAGACAGUAGCUGGCCUCAAAUUUGCAAAGACCUCAAGCCCUUCUCUGAGCUGAAGCAACCCAGUCUCUGGCUUCAAAUGUUUUGCAUUAUUAUCCCAUUUAUACCUUAAAUUAACAAUCAACAAAACCUCCGAUGGCUCCAAGAAGAACUGCAUCAGAUUGCUUGGCGGCAGAAAGGGUUUCCUCUGACAAUGGAACUCCUACCAAAUCCAAAGCAGAUCCACCCAUAGGCAUCUCUUGGAAACUAAACUCAAUGCCUUCGAGAGAGCCAGCAAGGUUGAGGACGUUCUUGGCGACGGAGAUAACUUCGGGGCCAAUGCCAUCGCCAGGAAGGAGAGUGAUAGAGUAGCGUUUGGAGAGUAUGGCGGCGGAGGCGGUGCAUCUAAUUCUGGGUGGUUUGUGGGAGUGUUUGGAAGGGAGUUCAGAAAGAAAAGCAAGUCUAAUUGGCUUAACAUGAAGUGGCAAAACAGAAGCCAUGUGGGCAGGUGAGAGAGCAGAGGAGAAGAGAGAUGGAGUGACUGAGAGCUGCAGAAGAUGCAGCAGACUUCACAGUUCCCA